rnacentral:snRNA from 1 species
ACCUCCCGGGAAGUCCUC